UACGUAGGUGGCAAGCGUUGUCCGGAAUUACUGGGUGUAAAGGGAGCGCAGGCGGGAAGCCAAGUCAGCUGUGAAAACUACGGGCUUAACUUGUAGACUGCAGUUGAAACUGGUUUUCUUGAGUGAAGUAGAGGUUGGCGGAAUUCCGAGUGUAGCGGUGAAAUGCAUAGAUAUCACGCAGAACUCCGAUUGCGAAGGCAGCGUACCGGCAUCCAACUGACGCUGAGGCACGAAAGCGUGGGGAUCAAACAGG
rnacentral:rRNA from 1 species